rnacentral:rRNA from 1 species
ACGCUAGCUACAGGCUUAACACAUGCAAAGUCGAGGGGAAACGGCAUUGAGUGCUUGCACUCUUUGGACGUCGACCGGCGCACGGGUGAGUAACGCGUAUCCAACCUUCCCAUUACUGUGGGAUAACCUGCCGAAAGGCAGACUAAUACCGCAUAGUCUUCGAUGACGGCAUCAGAUUUGAAGUAAGGAUUUAUCGGUAAUGGAUGGGGAUGCGUCUGAUUAGCUUGUUGGCGGGGUAACGGCCCACCAAGGCAACGAUCAGUAGGGGUUCUGAGAGGAAGGUCCCCCACAUUGGAACUGAGACACGGUCCAAACUCCUACGGGAGGCAGCAGUGAGGAAUAUUGGUCAAUGGACGGAAGUCUGAACCAGCCAAGUAGCGUGCAGGAUGACGGCCCUAUGGGUUGUAAACUGCUUUUGUAUGGGGAUAAAGUUAGGGACGUGUCCCUAUUUGCAGGUACCAUACGAAUAAGGACCGGCUAAUUCCGUGCCAGCAGCCGCGGUAAUACGGAAGGUCCAGGCGUUAUCCGGAUUUAUUGGGUUUAAAGGGAGCGUAGGCUGGAGAUUAAGUGUGUUGUGAAAUGUAGACGCUCAACGUCUGAAUUGCAGCGCAUACUGGUUUCCUUGAGUACGCACAACGUUGGCGGAAUUCGUCGUGUAGCGGUGAAAUGCUUAGAUAUGACGAAGAACUCCGAUUGCGAAGGCAGCUGACGGGAGCGCAACUGACGCUUAAGCUCGAAGGUGCGGGUAUCAAACAGGAUUAGAUACCCUGGUAGUCCGCACAGUAAACGAUGGAUGCCCGCUGUUGGUACCUGGUAUCAGCGGCUAAGCGAAAGCAUUAAGCAUCCCACCUGGGGAGUACGCCGGCAACGGUGAAACUCAAAGGAAUUGACGGGGGCCCGCACAAGCGGAGGAACAUGUGGUUUAA